AUUGAACGCUGGCGGCAGGCCUAACACAUGCAAGUCGAACGAGUGGCGGACGGGUGAGUAAUGUCUGGGAAACUGCCCGAUGGAGGGGGAUCACUACUGGAAACGGUUGCUAAUACCGCAUACCAUCGGAUGUGCCCAGAUGGGAUUAGCUAGUAGGGGGGGUAACGGCGCACCUAGGCGACGAUCCCUAGCUGGUCUGAGAGGAUGACCAGCCACACUGGAACUGGGACACGGUCCAGACUCCUACGGGAGGCAGCAGUGGGGAAUAUUGCACAAUGGGCGAAAGCCUGAUGCAGCCAUGCCGCGUGGAUGAAGAAGGCCUUCGGGUUGUAAAGUACUUGCAGCGAGGAGGCGUUACUCGCAGAAGAAGCACCGGCUAACUCCGUGCCAGCAGCCGCGGGAAUAC
rnacentral:rRNA from 1 species